GAGACAGAUGUUUAUUGGUUUGAGCGUUUAGUUGUUAAUUAAAAGAUUGUGGGAUCGAAGCCUUCCUGUCCAG
rnacentral:tRNA from 1 species